rnacentral:sRNA from 1 species
AGGUUCGAAUCCUGCACGACCCACCAAUAUACAAGGUGGUAACUGGUAGAGAACGUGAAGGAUAAUGUUGCUUUAGCAACGGCCCGAAGGGCGAGGCGAAGCCGAGUCAUCCUGCACGACCCACCA